GACGAACGCUGGCGGCGUGCUUAACACAUGCAAGUCGAGCGGUAAGGCCUUUCGGGGUACCCGAGCGGCGAACGGGUGAGUAACACGUGGGCGAUCUGCCCUGCACUUCGGGAUAAGCCUGGGAAACUGGGUCUAAUACCGGAUAUGACCUCCUAUCGCAUGGUGGGUGGUGGAAAGAUUUAUCGGUGCAGGAUGGGCCCGCGGCCUAUCAGCUUGUUGGUGGGGUAAUGGCCUACCAAGGCGACGACGGGUAGCCGACCUGAGAGGGUGACCGGCCACACUGGGACUGAGACACGGCCCAGACUCCUACGGGAGGCAGCAGUGGGGAAUAUUGCACAAUGGGCGAAAGCCUGAUGCAGCGACGCCGCGUGAGGGAUGACGGCCUUCGGGUUGUAAACCUCUUUCAGCAGGGACGAAGCGCAAGUGACGGUACCUGCAGAAGAAGCACCGGCUAACUACGUG
rnacentral:rRNA from 1 species